rnacentral:rRNA from 1 species
UACGUAGGGUGCAGGCGUUAAUCGGAAUUACUGGGCGUAAAGCGUGCGCAGGCGGUCUUUUAAGUCAGAUGUGAAAUCCCCGGGCUUAACCUGGGAACUGCGUUUGAAACUGAAAGGCUAGAGUGUGGCAGAGGGGGGUGGAAUUCCACGUGUAGCAGUGAAAUGCGUAGAGACGUGGAGGAACACCGAUGGCGAAGGCAGCCCCCUGGGCUAACACUGACGCUCAUGCACGAAAGCGUGGGGAGCAAACAGG